CACUGCACUCCAGCCUGGGCAAUGGAGCGAGACUCCGUCUCAAAAAAAGAAAGAAAAUGUAACUAAGAUAUUUACAAAAUUUCUGUUAAACUGAGUUGAAGAAUGGGGUUUUGUCUUUAAAACCCAUUUUCUGUCCUGUGCCGUCCACUCACAGAAGCCUCUGACUGUUAAGGAAUGAAACACUUGACAUUUAGCUUUAAAAGAUAUUGUAGCCUCUUAAAUGGAGUAAAGAUAGGAUGAGUCCUCAGGCAUUUAGAUUCUUUUUCUACAUUUUUCCUUUUCUUUUCCUUUUUUGAUCCUUUUCUCUGAAUUGCAAAGAAUGAUUAUUAUUUUAGAUCAGGCUUCUUAAUCAUUGUAUGCAUCAGUCGCAAGCAACAUUGAACCCUCUUGUUGAGUGUGAUCCAGCAAGUGCUUAUUGCACACCCACCUUAUUCUCAGUGUUGGGCUCGGUUUGGCACAGAGCAAGAAUUUCCUGUUCGUCUUAAUUAUUCCCAGAUGGUAUCAGCAGAUUCCUGUUUCUAACCACCAAAUCAGUGUUCUGGUAGAAACACUCCUGUCUUGUGACCUCUAAAUUACACACACUCUCCAUCUGCACUGA